rnacentral:rRNA from 1 species
CCUACGGGAGGCAGCAGUGGGGAAUAUUGCACAAUGGGCGCUAGCCUGAUGCAGCCAUGCCGCGUGUGUGAAGAAGGCCUUCGGGUUGUAAAGCACUUUCAGCGGGGAGGAAGGCGGUGAGGUUAAUAACCUCAUCGAUUGACGUUACCCGCAGAAGAAGCACCGGCUAACUCCGUGCCAGCAGCCGCGGUAAUACGGAGGGUGCAAGCGUUAAUCGGAAUUACUGGGCGUAAAGCGCACGCAGGCGGUCUGUCAAGUCGGAUGUGAAAUCCCCGGGCUCAACCUGGGAACUGCAUUCGAAACUGGCAGGCUAGAGUCUUGUAGAGGGGGGUAGAAUUCCAGGUGUAGCGGUGAAAUGCGUAGAGAUCUGGAGGAAUACCGGUGGCGAAGGCGGCCCCCUGGACAAAGACUGACGCUCAGGUGCGAAAGCGUGGGGAGCAAACAGGAUUAGAUACCCUAGUAGUC